rnacentral:rRNA from 1 species
UACGUAGGGACCAAGCGUUGUUCGGAUUUACUGGGCGUAAAGGGCGCGUAGGCGGCGUGUUAAGUCAGCUGUGAAAUCUCCGAGCUUAACUCGGAACGGUCAGCUGAUACUGAUGUGCUAGAGUGCAGAAGGGGCAAUCGGAAUUCUUGGUGUAGCGGUGAAAUGCGUAGAUAUCAAGAGGAACACCUGAGGUGAAGACGGGUUGCUGGGCUGACACUGACGCUGAGGCGCGAAAGCGUGGGGAGCAAACAGG